rnacentral:rRNA from 1 species
UGGGGAAUUUUGGACAAUGGGGGCAAGCCUGAUCCAGCCAUGCCGCGUGAGUGAUGAAGGCCCUAGGGUUGUAAAGCUCUUUCAACGGUGAAGAUAAUGACGGUAACCGUAGAAGAAGCCCCGGCUAACUUCGUGCCAGCAGCCGCGGUAAUACGAAGGGGGCUAGCGUUGUUCGGAAUUACUGGGCGUAAAGCGCACGUAGGCGGAUACUUAAGUCAGGGGUGAAAUCCCGGGGCUCAACCCCGGAACUGCCUUUGAUACUGGGUAUCUGGAGUCCGGAAGAGGUGAGUGGAAUUCCGAGUGUAGAGGUGAAAUUCGUAGAUAUUCGGAGGAACACCAGUGGCGAAGGCGGCUCACUGGUCCGGCACUGACGCUCAUGCACGAAAGCGUGGGGAGCAAACAGGAUUAGAUACCCUAGUAGUCCCUGAGCGGGCUGGCAAGGCGCAU